CAGGGAGACAACAAAAUGUUUAAUAUUAUUUUGUCACCUUAGGUCGAUCGGUAUCUCACAUUCUUAAAUCUAUUAAGAAUUUCAUUUCCUAAGUUUUUCUAGGUCACACCCAUUAUUUUUCCUGGGCCAUUAGCUCAGGUGGUUAGAGCGCACCCCUGAUAAGGGUGAGGUCCCUGGUUCAAGUCCAGGAUGGCCCAUAUCUCUAUGUUGGGGGUAUAGCUCAGUUGGUAGAGCGCCUGCUUUGCAAGCAGGAUGUCAGCGGUUCGAGUCCCCUUACCUCCACUGAUUACCACCUCUUCCAUAAUCUAAGGAAAUGUUUUGAGUUGUGAUCAAAUUCUGAACGAAUCUAGCUUCCUAAUGAAAUCAUUAAGAUGCUGGACUCAUUGAAUUAAUUUCAUUGUUUUCAGAGAACCUUGACAACUGCNUAGAUUAUUUUUAAAGACAAUAACCAUCUUUAAUGAUGCANAUUUAUUAUUUGUGCGAAUGCAUUAAUAACAAUUCUAUUAAGCUGAUGCUUCAAUUUUGAAGUUAUU
rnacentral:tRNA from 1 species